rnacentral:rRNA from 1 species
CCGUCGCACCUACCGAUUGAAUGGUCCGGUGAGAACUCGGGAUUGUGGUUUGGCUCCUUCAUUGGGGCCUGACUGCGAGAACUUGUCCGAACCUUAUCAUUUAGAGGAAGGUGAAGUCGUAACAAGGUUUCCGUAGGUGAACCUGCGGAAGGAUCAUUA